AUUGAACGCUGGCGGCAUGCUUUACACAUGCAAGUCGGACGGCAGCACAGAGAAGCUUGCUUCUUGGGUGGCGAGUGGCGAACGGGUGAGUAAUAUAUCGGAACGUACCGAGUAAUGGGGGAUAACUAUCGAAAGAUUAGCUAAUACCGCAUAUUCUCUGAGGAGGAAAGCAGGGGACCUUCGGGCCUUGCGUUAUUCGAGCGGCCGAUAUCUGAUUAGCUAGUUGGUGGGGUAAAGGCCUACCAAGGCGACGAUCAGUAGCGGGUCUGAGAGGAUGAUCCGCCACACUGGGACUGAGACACGGCCCAGACUCCUACGGGAGGCAGCAGUGGGGAAUUUUGGACAAUGGGCGCAAGCCUGAUCCAGCCAUGCCGCGUGUCUGAAGAAGGCCUUCGGGUUGUAAAGGACUUUUGUCAGGGAAGAAAAGGCUGUUGCUAAUAUCGACAGCUGAUGACGGUACCUGAAGAAUAAGCACCGGCUAACUACGUG
rnacentral:rRNA from 1 species